GAACUGCCAACCCAACGCUUCUUUGGAUUUACUUCCCAGACACCUUUUUGACCCAGCCAUGAGUGAGGAAGGCUACAAUAUAUACAGUGCUGUGUAUACUGUGGCCUAUAGUGUCCAUGAGAUGAAUCUUCAACAAAUACAGACUCAACCAUAUGCCAAUGGAGAACAAAUGGCAUUUUCCCCCUGGAAGCUUCACCCUUUCUUAAAGAACACAAUAAUGAAAAGUCAUGUGAGAGAACACACAGUAAUGCAUGGGGAAGAAACUUAGAUGCACAGUAUGACAUUCUUAAUUUUUGGAACUUUCCAAGUGGUCUUGGAUUAAAGGUGAAAGUAGGAACCUAUUCUCUAAGUGCGCAGAAUGGUCUACAGUUCUCUAUAUGUGAACAGAUGAUACAGUGGCCUACAGGGUUUACAAAGAUUCCUCAGUCUGUGUGCAGUGAGAGCUGUAGGCCUGGAUUCAGGAAAGCUGCCCAGGAAGGCAAGGCUGUCUGCUGCUUUGACUGUACUCCCUGUGCAGACAAUGAGAUUUCCAAUGAGACAGAUUCCUUACCACCUCCACUCUCACCCAGAUCUACUCAUUAUCUGUCUCUCAUUAGAACUGAACAUGUCUGUAUGAGGUAACAUAGAAUAAAAUAAAGUUUAG
rnacentral:lncRNA from 1 species